ACUAGGAUCAUGAUGGUAUCAUCUGAUCUUGUGAUUGACCCUUGAGUCUGGCAUAAGAGAUAACAAUUCUGGGAAAACUCAUAGAAAGUAGACUUCAUCUACUCAUCCCAGAUGGUGUAGCUCUGUGUGGUAGAAGACCUAGUUCUGUUUCAGUUGUACCAGAAGAUAUUACAAAAUGGGUAGUAUUAUCACAGGUGAAUAAAAGUGCAAUUUUCAGAAGACUACCAUGCCAGUAAGUAUCACACUGCCAAAGUGUCUGAUUGAAGUGAUUUGGGAAUGACAAAGAGAGUGAUACCUUUCAAAGAAGUAAAAUACAAAUCUCACUGAAAGGUUGAACAAAAUAAGAUUUCUCUGUUUUCCAGUUGCUUUUUCAAAUCUGUACAUGUUUAUCAAGAUAGUGAAUGUAACUUUGUGAUUGAUUGCUUACCCUCUACAGAACGCAAGUGGUGAAGUGGCUAGUAGUAUUAAACAAAUAAUCUGACUUAAACAGGUAGCUUCACCAAUUUUCUUAGGGUUUUCCCAUUGAAGUCUUUCUGGAAAAUAGUUAAGCUGUUUCUGCUGGUACAUUUAAAUAAAUUUAAUAUGGCCUUAAGCAGAGAGAAGCAUGGAAAUUUCACUCAGCUAGUAAAAUUUACUGAUAUUAUAAGCAAGGGUUAGAAUUAUAAUAAGCAUAAUGCAACCUUCAUUUUUCUUGCCACACAAAUUAAAUUAAAUGUCAGAAGUUAAGUGCAAGUUGUUGUAGGGAGAGAGAAGAGUAUAUGUCUAAACCAUUGCUUCUAUAAAUAGUGAAAAAGAUGUAAAAUUUUACUCUUGUGUAAUUUGUUACUGCAUGAGUAUCCAACAGGUAAUAUUCAAAAUGCCUUUUACAGAACUGUUUGACAGUUUUCUGUGAACUUUUCCAUUCAAGUUGCUGUAGAUAGAGACCUUAUGAUUGAUGUAGAGGAUUGAUCUGCGUGUUGAUUUUCUGAGGAGUACUUGAAGUCAUGUAGGCACCAGUGAUAUAAGUGCAUGCUUUCAUGCUGAGUGUGAAAAAGGCAGAGUAUAUAGGCUUUGCUAAACUAGUAGGGUGUGUGAAUACAGAUAAAACAUGAGAAACAUGGUAGAACAAGUCAACACAGGAAAGACGAGCUUUCCGGAAGAUGAUAAAAUGUCAAAGAGAAAAGAAAUAACUAGUCAUGUAAGUGCGGCCUUUGAAUAAGCCUAUAGUGGAGCAGAUGCGCCCUCAGAGGGACUGCAACACAUGGAGGAUCUGUUCUUGUACAGGUGCAGUGGAUGAAUGUCGUUGCAGUACUAACUCUAUAGCCUCACCUAAAGGGAAAAGGGUUGGAGGUUGUAAUGCAUGUACAUUUAACCUGUUGUAACCCAUGGUGUGCGUUUUAUUUGCUGCUGCAGGAACCACCCAAAUGAAUGGAGGAUGAAUCUCAUGAGAAGCUGGGCAUGUGUGGUGGUGACCCUGUCUGAGCUGGAUUUGCAUCUCAACAGUAUAAUAAACCAUUCCUUCUUUUCUGAGCAAGCAUUGUAGAUGAAGCCCAAGCUGUGGACUUUAAAUAAACUCGAUGGACUUCUAUGAUCUUCUUACCUUUCUCCUAUUUUCUCCCCAUCCUACAGGAAAGGACCAAAUGAUGAGACGUGCAAAGAUCAUGUUUUGCUGUGGAAUUUUGUAGCUGCUUCCAGAGAAUGGUGUUGCUUGUGCCAUCCCUCCUGCAGAAGAGCAUGCCUUAUCUAACAGAAGAUUAAGAAGGGAUGGAAGAAGACCUGAGGAACCAUAAGCCUAUACAUAGAUGACACCAAGCUGACUGGUGCAGUUGCCACACUGAAAGGGAGGGGAUGUCAUCCAGAGAGUCCUGGACAAGUUGGAGAAUUGGGCCUGUGUGAACCUCAUGAAGUUCAACAAGGCCGAGUACAAGGUCCUACACCUGGAUUGGGCAAGCAACUUUGUGCCUCUCUAGUUCAGUGGCUGAGGUCUUUGAAGGAGGAAUUCAGGACAUGCAAGACUCUUCAAGGGACUAUGUUGAGAAGUGAAUGCCAGACUGUGGCAUUAAGGGCAUGGACUCCAAUUGUGGUACAGAUGAAAUCAUGUUUAUUGAGGUGAUUUUAUUGUAUGACAAGCUCAUUCUCCCACAUCAUAACGGGAUUUCUUGACACAGCCUCUGUAAGGAAUUCUGAGAUAUACUGCAAAUCUCAGUGGUUUGAAGGGCACUGGGGGUUUGUUUGUUUUCUUUGUUUUUUAAUGGAAAGUACAAUUUAGGAAUGUUUUGUUUCCUCAGUGAAUACAAUGUCUUUCAAACAUUUUGUGAAAUUGUCACUAUGUAGUGUAAAACUUCAUUUGGGAUAUUGAUCACAGGGAGACUCUGAAAUAAAAGGUAACUCUAAAUGUGUCUUCCACAUAGAAGCUUUUAUGGCCUUUUUGUUCACUAUUUAUAUUUUGAAUGUCUCUUUUAUUUGUACUGGCAAGUUUGUAUUGUCUUCUGUGAACGUUCAUGAGCUGCAGCAGGCAUCUUCUCAGACAACUUUUGCAAACUGCUAAAGAGAUACUUAGAAAGAGUCUGAGUAGCAGGCAAUCUGCAAUGUAAAUUUCUUCCACAUAGCUAAAUCAUGCUCUUUUAGUAACUGAUACAAGCUUUUAUACAAAUGACUGCUGAUUUGCAAGUAGAAAGAGUUUGUUGCAACUUGGCUACUUUGUAUUUCACAGAUUAGCAUCCACAAAUGAUGGUCUUUCUUUCCUGAAUAAAGAUUUAGGCAAAUUGUUUUUUUCAUGUUGCUGUAAUGUCACGUUCUA